UACGAAGGGGGGCUAGCGUUGUUCGGAAUUACUGGGCGUAAAGCGUGCGCAGGCGGUUCGUUGUGUCGGCGGUGAAAGCCCCGGGCUUAACCUGGGAAUGGCCGUCGAAACUGGCGAACUGGAGUGUGGCAGAGGGGGGGUGGAAUUCCGCGUGUAGCAGUGAAAUGCGUAGAGAUGCGGAGGAACACCGAUGGCGAAGGCAGCCCCCCUGGGCCUGCACUGACGCUCAUGCACGAAAGCGUGGGGAGCAAACAGG
rnacentral:rRNA from 1 species